rnacentral:lncRNA from 1 species
UUGCAUCUUGCUAAAGUAGGGUCAGGCCGAACUAGGCAUCAUUUUCGGACAAUUGACUAACAUCUUGGCAAAUAUCAAUCCAAACGAAAAUAAUAUAAUUAGGAUUAGAAAGUAUAAAUUUAUGGCCAAUAAGGGUAAAUUAACUCUAACACUGUAAAUUACAUUUUCGAAAAUAAAUUGGCAUAAAAAAUCAAACAAAGAAUUGGAAUGAACUCAUGUGUUUUUUACAUCAAAUAAAAUAAUAUUCCAGAAAUCAGUCCUUGGCUGGCUAAUUAUGCAAACCCAACAUCUCUUCUCCGAACAGCAUAACUUCUGCUUCUCGGAUACAAAUCAGCUUUCACAUCCACUUCAUCUUCCCUAAAAGAACAAGCCUUCUCCUCAUCAAUUCUUCCCAUCUUCAACCCAACACUGUAACUCCUCAUCCCCAUUCCAUUCAUAGUGUUUGAGGGUUGCCCAACUAUUGGUCUUCUGUGCACAUCUGAACUCCCAACAGACUUAAUCUUAUUGUUCACUCUCUCUUUCUCUGCAUUACUUCUCUUCGACGACGCCGUUCUGAGAAGCUGACUCAAGUCCUCAUCGUCGUUAGAACUCGAAGAGUUGACGCUGAAGCUCCUGGGCAAAACUUGUGAAGCAGUGUAACCACUCACACCACCGCCACCAUAACCAACCUUGCCGGCACAGUCUUCCAGGCCCCUCAUGUAAAAGUUUCUUGCCUUGGUUAAGAUCCUAAUGGGUGCACAAACGAUGUACAUCAACUUGCUUUGCUUCUUUGCUUGGCUAGAGGUCCUCAUUUGUAAUUUUGAUGGAUUUUGUAUUGCGUAUAUAUGGGAUGAACAAAGAAGAGAAAGAGAUUUGAGAGGUUUGGAAUUGUGAGGUGAUGAGGGAGAGUUUGUAAUGUGUACGAAUAUAUAAAGGUGUGGGGGAUUUGAGGGACUUGGGUUUUGGACUUGUUUCUUGGAACUAGCCAGUAGGCAUUAGAAAGUCUAACUGGGACGGCUAGCCAAAAGAGAAAAAACAUUAAUUGUUAAUUGCGACGUGUGGACUAUAUCAAAAUUCAAAUGGGGCAUGUGAAAGGUUCAAAUAAGUGUAUAAUAUAUUAGAGUGGACUUGUACAACUAAGUUUACUGGUCUUUUGUAUUUUAUUCUCAUCCCCCUUUAUCACAACAUUCUCUUUAGGAGUAAAAGGGAAAACUUCUUGUUGAACUUAAAACUGCUUAGCUUGCGUGAUGCGCAGGGUAAAUGGCUAAUUAGCUAACUAUGUCUUUCUAGUGAAUGUGGGCGUACCAAUUUGCCACCGAACUCGAUCGGCAAGUAGAAUAAAUGUGAUGAUGGUGUAGAUCUGAUAUAUGAGUGAUCAUGGCCAAAUAAGAAACACGUCUCGGCCUUUGGGUUCUAAAACCUAUGCACAGACCCUUUAAGUGAAAGGGAUCCCCAUCUUCUUUUUAAAUGGGGAUUAGUUGUGGAACUCACUCCACAUCGAACUUCAACAAUCCGAACGGUCUAUUUUGUAAGUUUUGAUUCAUAGAUUAUCUUUACAAAAAUUCUAUUUAAUUUGAAACCAUUUGUCUUUUUAACUAUCACAAUGAAAUUUAUAUGUUUUCUUAGAACAAAGUCUUUGUCAAUUAAUUUUUUUUAACUCAAAUAGAUGCCUUAAAUAUUUUCGGUUUUGCUAAUGUUUUGCAAGGAUGAUCCAUGAGGUGCAACGUGAAAAAUAGAUAGUUGGUAUCGUUAAAGUUCGAUAUAGUGUGGGCCUCACAAUUAAUCCCCAUUUUUAUUAUUAAAUAAAUAAAUAAAAAUAGGGUUCCCUUCCCUUAAAGGCCUCCCAUAUAUUUAUAAUCGUUAUUCACCGAACCCAUUACCUUGAGAAUACAAAAGUUGCAUUGUGUGAGUUGCAUUUUGUCGGAAAGUUCAAAAGUUUUGAAUCAAAAUCAAUGAGAAUUCAAUGGUGCUUGUGGGAGAUAUCUAAGAUGAGCCAACAUCAUCAAUACUUUAAAUUCAAUGCUUUAAUUUUUAUACUCUACAAGAUCCGUUCAUUGAAUCAUUUUAUCAAAUAUUCCAAGUUUAUCAUCUCUUUCCAAGAGUCUUACAAUCAAGAAAUUGGUGGAUAUUUAAUAACGAAAUUAGUAUCUACUAAAUUAUAGUGCGUUAACUGAACAAAUACAUUGUUUAUAUUGACGAAGAUGGAAAUAACCGUUAACUGAAAUCCAUUAUCCAAUGGGUAUGGUUAUGGAUAAACUUCGUUGGUUAAUUUAUGGUUAUGAAUAUAAUUAAUUUUUGUGGUUAUGGAGAUGGACAUAGCAUUUUCGUCCCAAACCGAACCGUUGCCAAUCCUAGUCUAGCAGUAUUAGUCUUUACUUGUAAGUGAGAGACUUUAGGUUUGAAUCUCGAAAGUAACGAGUUCAUAAUCAAUUUUUCUUCCAAACCCUUUGUAUGGAAAUAUAUCUUUGUAUAAAAAAUUUAAUAAUUAAAAAUAUAUUUGACUCAAGAAAUAUUUUUUUUGUAUAAAAAAAGUCUAACUAAUUAAAACAGGGGAAGAAAAGGAAGGGCAAGAUAAUUUACAGAGUCAAUUCCAUUGCAUAUGGCUAGUAGGGUCAGGCCGACAGGCAGAUCGUAGCUCAUUGCUUGACGACUUGUUCAAUGCUGUCAAUAAAUAAAAUCCACCUUCUUGUUCCCUACUUUGAUGCCACUAAUAACGAACCAUAUCAUUUUCGGACAAUUGACUAACAUGGCAAAACCAAUCCAAAUGUAAUAUAAUUGAGUGAGCUAUAUUUACUAUGUAUUUGUACUAUCUUUUGUAUCAUUUAUCUAAUAGAAGUAUGGUCCAUCAACAUUUGUGAGUUUCAUCUCUAUUAGAUAAAUGAUACAAAUGAUGAUACAAAUAAUUAGUAAGCACUAGCAAAACCACAUUAAGGGCUACCCAAGUAGCUUUCGGUGAAAUUUAAUGUAGCCCACCAUAUAUAUAAUUAGUCACUAAUCUUAGUUCUCUCAAUUUAAUUAUAUAAAACUAUAUAAUAUUGUUUACAAACCAUAUCUUUUUCUUACAUCAUUUUUCUCAUUGUUUCUUGUACACAAGGUUCUAAAAAACGUUAAGCUCUAGUCGGGCGGCGGAUUGGGGCCUAAGUGGUUAGGCGGGGCCUAGACAGGUGCCUAGGCGACCUAGGCGGAUUUACAUAAAUUUAUAAUAUAUUAUAAAAUAUGAGUAUAUGUGUAUAAUUUUAGGACUUUUUUUUGUUGUUAAUUUUGUAACAUUUACUCACCCCAUUAUAUUAAUCAUUGUUGGACUUUGCUUUUCAUUUGAAAAACAAUUGGACAUAUGGGUGGGCAUAAAAACCGCAAACUGCAUCGAAUCGUAUGAAAAAAACCAAAAAGAACCGUGUUGAUUGGAAAAGUUUGAAAAAUUAGUUUCACCAAGUUGCAAAGAAGUGGAUCCCAUCCCAAUUAGGGCUCACCCACCUCACCCUCACCUCACUCACGGCUUCACAUCCCCCAUUUCACACUUUUAGACUUUCAUUCUUUUUUCACUCAGCCAACCACCUCACUCACAGCCUCUCAUCAGCGAUUCCUCAGGCAGCCCACAACCUCAGCUCUUUGCGACAGCCCUCGUCAUCCCUCCUCCACGAAAGCUCACGACUCUUCGUCUUUCGUCCUCCCUCAGUAUUUUCUCUAUCUUUUCGCAUAUUUGAGAUUAGGAAUAUGGUUCAGUUUUACUGGUUUUCCAUUUUCUCUUGGGCUAAAUUAAAUUUACUCUUGUUUUGCUGUCGUACUACUGUAUUCUUGUGAGGUUAGCUCGUGUUGAGUGAUGUGCGGCCUAAAUUGUAAUAGUAUCACUUAAAACUACCAUCUGUUGGUAAUCAAUAAGAGCAUCUAUUAUUUCUGCCAAGAAUUAAAGGGUAGGGCUAGACAUUAGGUAGAUUGGGCGGGGUUUACCCUCAACCCGUAGGCCGAGCCAACAUGCUCGGAAUACCAACAAAGAUGCAUAGAAAACUAGGAAUCUUAGAAGAAAUUUAAUGGAGUGGAUAUGGAGGAUGCAACGGAGAGAACUGAAGUUAGGGAUUAUGGAGAAAGAAAGCGGCUUAUGAUAUUUUAGAAAUCAAAAUGCUAAGGUGUGGUAAAGACCACAAAGUUCUAACUUGCAUCCAGUAAGAGCAUGCCAUGUGGCAUGUGUUAAAGAUAAAAGCUUGUUUUAAUGCUAUGCGGGUGGGGUUGGGUUUUUAUAAACCGACGUUGGUAACACAACGUUAAAGAGAAUCAAAAUCACAUGGGCUGUUAAGGACAAUGCCCACACCUUAUGUGUGAAUGUAUAUUCCUAUAAUUUAGUAUAUGUGUGAAUGGAUUUGUUGUUUGUAUUGAAAAUUGGAUUGAAACUUAAAAGGGGAGGGAAGGGAGAGGGGUGGGUUGGUGUUUUACAAUGAUGAGAGAAUACAAGGUGUUGAUGUAUGUGCUUACUUUCUUAUUUUCUAAUGAGUUCUUGAUUUUUAUAUGUUCUAGAAAAGAGGAAUGGUGGCACAUUUAGCAUUGAAGCUUCAUAAACUAUUUAGUCCUAACUUAUCACCUUUUACUACUGAUGGUAUGUAUGUAACUUUAGUUUUUUAGCACCUUCCUUACUAAUUUGAAUUGUAAGCUUGUUGUUUGAUGUAUGUUGUUUGCUUGCUCUCUGAAAUAAGAAAUUGUGAUUUUGCUUGCUCUCUGAAAUAAGUUGUUUGAUUUGAUUAUAUGUUGUUUGAUUGUGUACAGGAGCUGCUGUUUGAAAAAGAAUCUGCCACUGCCAAGGACAUUUGGAUUUUUGUUUUUGCUUGUUGUUGUUGCCAAUAUCAAGAGACCAAUGCAUAUUUCCUUUAAUGCUCUUUGAAUAUUUCUUUUUGCUUGUUGUUGUUGUUGUUGCUGCCAAUGUCAGGAGACUAAUGCUGCUUUGAGUUCUUGAUUUUUUUGUAUGUUGACUGACCAAUGCAUAUUUCUUUUAAUUGUCUCUUUUUGUUGACUUGGUGUGACCAAAGACAUUUGCAUUAAAAAGUAUAUGUGUUGUAUGCAACUUCAUAUAAUCAGUUUUAGAAGAUGUAUUUGAAUGCAUGAUGAUUUGGUGUUCAAAUAAUUUAGUAUUCAGAACCGUAAACCGGUAAGAACCAAAUCGGAACCGGUGUAGACCGAACUGUACGGUUCUAGUAAUAAUUUUAAGUGGAACCGAAUCGUUGAUAUUUUUUGGUUUAGGAGUGGAACUGCACCGAACUGCACCGUGCCCACCCCUAAUUGGACCUGGUUUCCCCAUUAAAAAAUAAAUUUAUUCCCUUAUGUUUUAGUCAUGAAAAAUCACACAUGUGGCAAGUCAAACAAAAAUCCCUCUUUCUACUUAAUUUUUCAUUCUUCCCGUGAGUAGGAGGAUCUUCGCCGAAUCCUCUUUAUGAGGAUCAUGGGGAUCCUCCAAUCACAUUCGUUCAUCGUACAUCAUGCAGUCAAAAAUUAUUGUAAACUUCUUUAUUUAAAAUUGAAUAUAAAUAAUACCUGACAAAAAAUGGUCGCACGAUGUACGAUGAACGGAUGUGAUUAGGGGAUCCGUCUCUUUCCGUGAACCCAUGACACAAAAACUCAAAAUGUGAAAUCCCGUCCCCGGAAUUUCACUAUUCAUUAUGUAUCUCGUAAUUUAAGUUUGUAUUUCACGUUUACAUCAUUUUUAUUACUUAAUUUUAAUUCCAUAAAUUUUGGGAAUUAAAUCAAAUAGUUAUUGAGUUUGAAUUUUUGUAAUCAAUCUUUAUCUUUCGUUGACUUUUCAAAGUUUUAACUAAUGUUUUUAAAUAGAUUUCGAACCCAUGAAUGCAUAGGCGAAAGCCGUUUGCAAGUCUGAGUUAUAACGGUAUAGUUACAGACGUUUGAAGUUGUGAACUAUAGAUUAUGGGAUUUAUUUAAUUCCCAGAUGUGGGUUAAAGGUUAAGUUAGAUUAAAAAGGGGAAGGUUUCUGAAAAAAAAGAGGGGAGAAAGGGAGAUAGGCUGCUGCUAACCCGUUUUGGGGGUGAAUUGGACCCGUUAACCCACAAAUUUGACCCGCUUGUAUCUCCUUCAUCCAAUCUCCGUUUUGGGUGAUCUUAGUGUCCAUGGAAAGCUCUUGGCAAGCCCUACAUCUUUGUAGUGUUAGAUUUCCCAUCUUCUUAUCCAUUUUUCCAGUUCCAGGUAGCAAAGUUCCGUGGGUUUCCGGCGAUUUUGUCAUUUUUCCGGUGAUUUCGGCAACCAUUUCUUUCAAGUGAGGUAUUAAACUUCAUCUAUUCUUCAUAAUCUUCAAGUUGGUAUACUUGGUUUGUGCUUUCGUAUUCGUUUUAGAAUUGGGUGUUUAGAACCCUAGAAAGCCGAUUUUCUCCGAUGAAUUUGGAUGGUUUCCGGUUAGAAUUUGUCGUUGGCCUAGUUGUGAAUAAUGUUUCCCUUGUUGAGCUCUAGUUACCACGUAAAUUUGAGCCUUUUUGGUUAAGGUUGAAAAUUUGGGUUUUCAAACCCUUCACCAUAACUACCAUCGUGUGGUGGUGCGUGAGACCGUUCACGAGUGUUGUCUAAGUACCAAAUACCUUCUAGUGACCCUAUGAACCUAUGUCUAGCUCAGUUUCCCGAAAUUCAAUUGUUUGGUGUGGUGAUCAAAUUGGACCACCACUUGUUUGUGUGAUUGAUGACAAUCCAAUCGUUGGAUCGUCGUACAGUUUUGUGAGCACCAUAGUUAUUAGUUGUUGAACCUUUGAGAACUUUUGGAUCGGAAAUCCGAUGUGCGGAUCUUCUGGAUUGAAUAACCUUAGAUUGUUGACCUUAAUGGACCUACCUUAUCGACGGUUGAUGUUCUUGUCAAUGUGCUCUACUCUAGAGUGUCGUUUACCUCUAGUUUGUUGUUGAGGCUUGAUGGAGCUUAGUUGGCUCAUCACGAUGACGUGUCGUUCCCAGUUGACGUGUGUCUCAAUAUAUGUAUUAGUGGCACCAUAUUGAGUUAUACUUGUUUAUUAAAUGUGCUUUCUAUUGAAUUGUUAUUUUUAUUUUUAGCAUCAAUCUAUGUUUAUUAAUUGUGAAUCGAUUGUAGCUUGGAAACGUAUAUGAAAAGUGGUUAUAUAUGUAUGAUGUGUAUGAUUGUUGUUAUGACAAUGUGAUCCUAGAAUCUUAUUGGUUGUAUUCUGUAGAACUUAUAUGCUUGUGUGACAUAUUAGUUGGUGGCCAUGAGAAGUUGAUGGUGUAGGUGACUACGUUGAAACUCAUAGGGGUUGAGUUGUGUGUUAAAUUGAUUGCACCAUGUAGCAGAGGUACAUGGAUGGUCUUGCUUGGUAUAUCCACGAUGGGGGACCAUACACAUUCUAGGAAUGAUCAUGCUUGGUAUAUUCGCGAUGGAUGAUUACUACCUAGAGCUACAAAAUACAAUCCUGCUUGGUAUAACCGCGAUGGGGGACUGCUAAGGGUGAUCAUGCUUGGUAUAUCCGCAAUGGGUGAUCAUUGCCUAUGUUAUUAAAUUAUGCAUAUGGUUCUGCUUGGUAUAUCCGCGAUGGGGGACUAUAUGUAUUCAGGAGUGAUCAUGCUUGGUAUAUCCGCGAUGGGUGAUCACUGCCUGCACGAUGAGAUUAUGCCUAUGGUUCUGCUUGGUAUAUCCACGAUGGGGGAUUAUACGCAUUUUAAAGAUGUUGAUGAUUAGUUGUACUUCGUAUAUUUCGAUAGGCAAUCAUAAUUUAGUUUAGAUUCCGUUGAGAGAUGGUCUGAAAUCCCUCGUACUCUGUAAUUCAGUUGAGUGAUGGUCUGGAAUCGUAUCCAGCUUGAGUUUCAUUUAGUGGUUGUAAUGCAUUGUACUUUGCGAUUCCGUCGAGUGAUGGUCCGGAAUCGUAUCCACUCGGAUUCCGUUGAGAGAUGGUCCGGAAUCCCUCAUACUUCGCGAUUUCGUUGAGUGAUGGUCUGGGAUCGUAUCCACCUCGGGUUUCAUUGAGUUUGGAUUGAGAUAGCUUCAAGGACGUAGGCUUCGGCCGAGCUGCAUCCCUUUAGCCCAAGUUUUUAAUGUACAUAUGAACGAUGGAUAUUGAGAAUCUUGUGCUUUGAAUUAGAAAGGUCAUUGGAUGUCUGGGUGACUCCUUCAAAGUUGUCAGUGACUUGAUUAUGAUUUCAUAAAGCAUGAUUCUAUACUUGAUGUUUAUAGAUUGUGAUCGAUGACACUAAUUUUACAUGCGAGAAACCGAUUGAUAAUUUUGGUUCCGUUAAGUGAUCCGGAACCCAAUGUGGUUGGAUUCCGUUGAGUGGUCCGGAAUACCUACUCUUGCUCAUUUCCAUAAGUUAGACUUGUACCCUAGAUUCGAGUGAAUGAGAAUUACCCACAAUAGAUCUUGUGAAUAUAAAUUAGAAUUAUCAAGUUAUUACUUGAAAUCAGGCAGGGAAAUAUGUAGAAGUCCUUUAUUAAUUUUGUGCAUUGAGGUAUGAUCGAUUGACUGAUUGACAUAAUUAAAUGUUAAUAUCGUGCCUCCUUGAUAUCAUGGAAUGGGUUACUUGAGAUGAUUGUGGAAGGACGUUGAAUAUGAUUGUUAUUAAUACGACUAGAUCAGUGAUCAAUGCGACUAGAGGAUACUAUUGUGCCUUGUUGAUUUUUUGAUAUAUUACAUGAUAUGAAUAGCAAUUUUAUGUUGAAAUAUAAUGAUUUAUAUGAUGGAUGAAAUAGAAACCUUGAUUGUCAUGCGGGUUGUUAUGUAGUUUGAAUCGAAUAAUUCAUGCUUGUCAAGUCCAAAUGUUUGAUUGAGGAAUGUUAUGCAUUUUGGCUUGAACAGAAUGUGUUAUAUGUCGAGUUAUAGUGAAGAUGAACUACAAAUGGCUUGAUCCCUAUUGAGGGUACGUAGGCAGUCUAAUAAGGAGGUUAGAUGCAGCCAUAAAGUAUACGAAAAUUUGCUAUGUGAAUCGAUUCUCGAGUUGUGAUUUGUCAUAUUCCGGAGGCGGGGUAUGUUUGAGAUAUGGGUAUUUGGUGGCGUCACGUGUCGAUCCUGGACGUAUGUCUGGUUCGGGGCGUGACACAAAACCUCUCUCUCUCUCUCUCUCUCUCAACCUCUGGCAAGCAACCAUAGUUUGCGAUGCAGAUGCGAGAUGAGAGAUGCAAUGUGGGAGUUGGAAAUUUGAAGUUGCAGAUGCGAUGAGAGUUUGAGGUGGCGAGAGUUGUAGAGCCUUCGGUGGUGGGGAGAGUUACAGAGCACCUUGUGCAAUGGCAAGAAUUUCAGACCGCCUAGCGAUGUUUAGAGCGCCUAGGUCCCCGCCGAUUUUUCAACGAUCUAUCCCAAAUCGCAGUGGGCUUCCACCAUGGCCGCCUAGAGCAAUUUUUAGAACACUGCUUGUACGUAUAUGUUUCAAGUUUGGAUUUGUUUGAAUUUUAACACUUAUUUUUUUAAUAACGAAAAAAUUAUUUGGCUCACUUUGUGAAAAUUUCCUUAAGCUAAUUGAUAAUAUGAAAAAUAUAGUAUCAAAUUUCUUUGUUUAUAAAAGAUUAAAAUCUUUAAGCUAGCACGCCUAGUGAAAAAUUCCUAGCUUCGCCUGUUGAGUAGCAUUUUUAAAUAUAAUUAGGAAUUAGAAAGUACAAAUUUGCGGCCAAUAAGGGUAAUUCAAAUUAACUCUAACACUGUAUCGAAAAUAAUUUGGCAUCCAAAUAAUCAAACAAAGAAUUUGAACGAAUUCAUUUUGUUUUUACAUCCAAAUAAAAAAAUAUUUCAGAAAUCAGUUCUUGGCUGGCUAAUUAUGCAAACCCAACAUUUCUUCUCCGAACAGCAUGGCUUCUGCUUCUCG